rnacentral:rRNA from 1 species
AUGCACGCUGGCGGCGUGCCUAAUACAUGCAAGUCGAGCGAACGGACGAGAAGCUUGCUUCUCUGAUGUUAGCGGCGGACGGGUGAGUAACACGUGGAUAACCUACCUAUAAGACUGGGAUAACUUCGGGAAACCGGAGCUAAUACCGGAUAAUAUUUUGAACCGCAUGGUUUAAAAGUGAAAGACGGUCUUGCUGUCACUUAUAGAUGGAUCCGCGCUGCAUUAGCUAGUUGGUAAGGUAACGGCUUACCAAGGCAACGAUGCAUAGCCGACCUGAGAGGGUGAUCGGCCACACUGGAACUGAGACACGGUCCAGACUCCUACGGGAGGCAGCAGUAGGGAAUCUUCCGCAAUGGGCGAAAGCCUGACGGAGCAACGCCGCGUGAGUGAUGAAGGUCUUCGGAUCGUAAAACUCUGUUAUUAGUGAAGAACAUAUGUGUAAGUAACUGUGCACAUCUUGACGGUACCUAAUCAGAAAGCCACGGCUAACUACGUG